rnacentral:rRNA from 1 species
AUACGAAGGGGGCAAGCGUUGUUCGGAAUAACUGGGCGUAAAGCGCACGUAGGCGGAAUGUUAAGUUAGAGGUGAAAUCCCAGGGCUCAACCCUGGAACUGCCUUUAAUACUGGCAAUCUAGAGACCGAGAGAGGUGAGUGGAAUUCCGAGUGUAGAGGUGAAAUUCGUAGAUAUUCGGAGGAACACCAGUGGCGAAGGCGGCUCACUGGCUCGGUACUGACGCUGAGGUGCGAAAGCGUGGGGAGCAAACAGCAUUAGAUACCCUAGUAGUCC